rnacentral:rRNA from 1 species
UACGAAGGGGGGCUAGCGUUGCUCGGAAUCACUGGGCGUAAAGGGUGCGUAGGCGGGUCUUUAAGUCAGGGGUGAAAUCCUGGAGCUCAACUCCAGAACUGCCUUUGAUACUGAGGAUCUUGAGUUCGGGAGAGGUGAGUGGAACUGCGAGUGUAGAGGUGAAAUUCGUAGAUAUUCGCAAGAACACCAGUGGCGAAGGCGGCUCACUGGCCCGAUACUGACGCUGAGGCACGAAAGCGUGGGGAGCAAAGCAGG